AGUUAUCGAAGGAAGCGACCUUAAUUCAUAACU
ncrna:unclassified sequences S4-Flavobacteria ribosomal protein leader